rnacentral:rRNA from 1 species
CUACGGGAGGCUGCAGUUUCGAAUAAUUCACAAUGGGCGCAAGCCUGAUGAUGCGACGUUACGUGAAGGAAGAAAGCUUUAAGUUGUAAACUUCUGUCGUUAAGGAACAAAAAAUUAAGUAGUACUUUUUAUAUUGAGUUAACUUAAAAAGGAAGCAGUGGCUAAUUUCGUGCCAGCAGCCGCGGUAAUACGGGAACUGCAAGCGUUGCUCGGUUUUAUUGGGCGUAAAGAGUACGUAGGCUGUUAUAUAUGUUAAUUGUUAAAUUUUAAAGUUAAUCUUUAAAUUUGCUGUUAAAACUAUAUAACUAGAAUUUCAAAGAGGUAAGUGGAAUUUCAAGUGUAGCGGUGAAAUGCGUAGAUAUUUGAAGGAACACCAAUGGCGAAAGCAACUUACUGGGUGAUAAUUGACGCUAAAGUACGAAAGUAUAGGGAGCAAAAGGGAUUAGAUACCCCGGUAGUC